UCGCCCACGGGGCUGCCCGACCAGCAGCAGCUGCAGCAGCCGCCGCACGAGACCUUCUUCGCGGUAGCUCACAUCACGGCUGGCUGCCGCAGCGGCUACGUGUGUCUGGCGCUGUACAGGAGGGACAGCCAUGUCAUCGAGCUUCAGGAGUCUGAGACGUGGUCGACGGCGCCUGAAGAUGCGUGCCAACCUCCCAACUUCAUCAGCCGACAGCUGCCUUUCU